rnacentral:rRNA from 1 species
UACGUAGGGGGCUAGCGUUGUCCGGAUUUAUUGGGCGUAAAGAGCGUGUAGGCGGCCAGGUAGGUCUGCUGUGAAAACUCGAGGCUCAACCUCGAGACGUCGGCGGAAACCAUCUGGCUAGAGUCCGGAAGAGGAGAGUGGAAUUCCUGGUGUAGCGGUGAAAUGCGCAGAUAUCAGGAAGAACACCCGUGGCUAAGGCGGCUCUCUAGUACGGUACUGACGCUGAGACGCGAAAAGCGUGGGGGAGCGAACAGG